CGCUGCCAGUAAAGAUAGGGAUAGAGAUGUUCUCUCGGUACUCAAGCUUCUUCCAGCUGCCAUUCUCGCUUUAGCUUCUGUUCUCUCACUGUUCUCUCUCUUGAAGACCGUGAAGUUCUUGCUUAUAUGAUUACCAGGUCUCUGAAAACCACUACCAACCCAAACUCAAACAACCCUUCUUCUCUUGAUCAAGAUUCCAAGAGAAAAUCCUCCAAAAAGCCACCAAAUGCCUCCACCAACAACCUUAAUACUAAUAACCAUAAGCCUCCUGUCUUUGAUUGUGAUUGUUUU
rnacentral:misc_RNA from 1 species